AAACAGAUUCGUCAUGCCAACACUGCAUGGAGCAAAUGCUGCAACAAGCCGUUCAACAAUCUACCAAAGUACCCAAAGCCGGAAUUAAUUCCAGUGAUAAAGUCUUAACGCAACUGCCCGAAGAACUGUCUCGUGGCGACGAAGGAUGCGAGGUCAUACCCAGUCAGAAUCUUAAGCCCUUCCCAGGUCCAUACCAGUCCGGAAAGAGUCAUAAUGGCAUUCGAGUCUUCGCUACCCGCCAUAGGAUUACAAAUUCCACCAAGCCUUCCGA
rnacentral:ribozyme from 1 species